rnacentral:rRNA from 1 species
UACGUAGGGUGCGAGCGUUGUCCGGAUUUAUUGGGCGUAAAGCGCUCGUAGGCGGUUUGUCGCGUCGGCCGUGAAAUCUCCACGCUUAACGUGGAGCGUGCGGUCGAUACGGGCAGACUUGAGUUCGGUAGGGGAGACUGGAAUUCCUGGUGUAGCGGUGAAAUGCGCAGAUAUCAGGAGGAACACCGGUGGCGAAGGCGGGUCUCUGGGCCGAUACUGACGCUGAGGAGCGAAAGCGUGGGGAGCGAACAGG